rnacentral:rRNA from 1 species
GACAGAGGUGCCAAGCGUUAGGCGGAAUCACUGGGCUUAAAGCGUGUGUAGGCGGAUCGUUAAGUACCUUGUGAAAUCCCACGGCUCAACCGUGGAACUGCUGGGUAUACUGGCGGUCUUGAGCCACCUAGGGGCGAGCGGAACAAACGGUGGAGCGGUGAAAUGCGUAGAUAUCGUUUGGGACGCCAACGGUGAAAACAGCUCGCUGGGGGUGUGCUGACGCUGAGACACGAAAGCCAGGGGAGCGAACGGG